ACGGAGGGUGCAAGCGUUAAUCGGAAUUACUGGGCGUAAAGCGUGCGCAGGCGGUUUGUUAAGUCCGUUGUGAAAUCCUGGAGCUCAACUCCAGAACUGCCUUUGAUACUGAGGAUCUUGAGUUCGGGAGAGGUGAGUGGAACUGCGAGUGUAGAGGUGAAAUUCGUAGAUAUUCGCAAGAACACCAGUGGCGAAGGCGGCUCACUGGCCCGAUACUGACGCUGAGGCACGAAAGCGUGGGGAGCAAACAGGA
rnacentral:rRNA from 1 species